rnacentral:pre_miRNA from 1 species
UUCCUACUCCCUCCGUCCGGAAAUACUUGUCAUCAAAAUGGAUAAAAAGAGAUGUAUCUAGAAUUAAAAUAUGUCUAGAUACAUCUUCUUUUAUUCAUUUUGAUGACAAGUAUUUUCGGACGGAGGGAGUACUUU